AAACGCAGGGAGGAGUACAUAGUUCCUCGCAAGCUUUCAGAGAAUGAUUUUGUUGUUAUAAAGGAAGUCUCCACCAGGGGUAAGGAGGAACAUAUUGCAGCCAUCAAAUUGAAUGGAAAGAGAAUUAUGGACCACUGGCAUCCCAUUCUGUGUGGCUUUCUCUCAAAUGAUGAACCUUUAAUCAACUCUAAAAAGAAGAAGCGAAAGGUUAAGGAUGUUGUUGCUACUCAACCCAUGAAAUCUAGAGAGGUUGUGACCAAGAAAUUCGCCACUCACAAGACCCUGAGGUGAUGGUUGUAUCAGGGAAAGGCGCAAAGAUGGUGCAGUUUCAUCAAGGACACGUUUAUGGAUGCUACGGAUUUCAUAGUGAAACGAGCCCUCGAAGGACUGAACGACUCUACCCUUGGUGAUCCCGAGCGACACAUCAUGCUUGAGAGUGUUUCUCAGACGCUGCCCACGCAAGUGCCUGAGGUAGCUAAGGUGCAGGCCAUGUUGGUCGGGCUUAUUGACCUUUCCAAGAAGUUGGAGGGUGGCCAGACCGAAUUCAUGAAAGAAUCCGAGCGAGAUGAACAUGUUGUUGCUGAAAUAGAACUUAAGAUUAAGUCUGGCCAUGAAGUUUCCAAGGACAUAAUUGGGGACUUAUCUGCCGUGUAAAAGAAGUGCACUGAAAUGGAGGCACGGGAAGCAGAACUGAAGGCCCAGCUUGAAGAGGUUACUGCUACUUUGCACAAGCUUAAAUUGGAAAUGGAACAGCGCCGACAAGCACAUGAUGCCCAUCAAUCUGAACAGAAGAAGUUGCUGAAGAGUCUACAGGAUACCAAUGCUGGCAAACGUACAAGGCUUGCUAAAUUUAAACAAAAGACAACAGAUUUAAAGACCGAAGGAAGUCAGUUGUUGAACAACCUGCAGAACUGGCGAGCCCCUUGAGAGGGCGUCGACUUCGUCUGGUUUUUUUGUUCAUUUCAAACCAUCAUUCCGCUUCGAACCAUUUAAUUUCAGUCUUCAGUUUCAAUUCAGAUGUAUCAGUACUUUCUUUAUUCACGUGGGAACUCCAAAUUUUAUGCAUGAUGUAUUAGUAUGCCA